rnacentral:rRNA from 2 species
ACAAUGCGGAACAAUGUUUUGCAAUUGGAUUGAGAACAACGUACAAACCUUAUCGAUAAACAAUUGGAGGGCAAGUCUGGUGCCAGCAGCCGCGGUAAUUCCAGCUCCAAUAGCGUAUAUUAACGUUGUUGCAGUUAAAAAGCUCGUAGUUGAAAUGAAGGGUAGUUGUGUAAUGAAUACAUUCGUGUAUUUUGUUAUUCUACUACCCUCCUUCUAAAUUCGAUAUAUGAGUAUUAAUUUACUUGUAUAUGGUUUUAGACUUUUACUGUGAGAAAAUUAGAGUGUUCAAAGCAGGCAUUUGCUUGAAUAUAUUAGCAUGGAAUAAUCAUGUAUGAUUUUCAUGAUGUAUUUGAUUGGUUUGGUUCAUGAGAAUAAGAUUAAAAGGGACAGUUGGGGGUAUUCAUAUUCAAUAGUCAGAGGUGAAAUUCUCGGAUUUAUGGAA